rnacentral:lncRNA from 1 species
UGUGCAAAGAAGUGGAAUGUGGAAAGGGAGCUUGCAAGCCUUCUAACAAUGGCACUUUAUUGUUUGAAUGCGAUUGCGAUCCAGGUUGGAGGCAAACACUUUCUUCUCAUGAUGACGGCUUCAAGUUUCUUCCCUGCGUAGUUCCUAACUGUAAGAUAAAUAUUUUCUCAUAUCAAUUUUUCAGUUAUAAUUGUAACUUUUAUUUUGUUUUUUCAUUUACUCUAUAAAUACACUCUUAAUUAAUAUGAAUAGAUAAUAAAACACAGUCAUUUGAAUUUUUUUUUCUCUUUUAUGUUUAUUCUUUCUUUCUCUACAAAUAAAAGUAUAUAAAACUAAUAUGAUAUAUUAACACAAUGUUGUUCGUUUGUUUUUUUGUGACUAUUUUUUUUUAUUUGGUGAAACUAUUUGGUACGCUACAAUAUAGUGAAAUUACAUAUAUAGUGUUAUGACACAAGCAUUGCUUAAAUUUAGAGAUAAUAAAUCUGAAGUUACUAACAUUGUAGUUUCAACGUAAUGUUGUAAUCUGGAGUACAAAUACUAUUAAGUGAUGAUAUGUUCAACAUUUCAUUUGCAUUAAGAGGUGAUUAACACAAAUAAUUAAGUUCAAAAUGCAGAACAACAACACAUACUCUUUUUUAUGGGCACAACAACACGUACUUAAACAACAAUUAAACACUAGAUAUUGAAAUAAUUAUUUCAAUUGUGGGAUCAGUACAUAUUGCCUAAACCUGCCAUGUUAUGCAUUUGGUUGAUUGUUUCAAGUAUAAAGUUUUAACUUCAGAAAGUGUUAAGUGAAACAGUUUAAUUCAUCAGUAAAAGAAAAGUAUUGUGAGUUAAUGAAAACCUCCACACGGAUUAAGAAUUGAAUUGUGAUUGUUCAGAACAAUUCUCACCUUUUCUUGAUGACUACUGAUAUUUUAUUGUAUAUCACCAGACGCUGAAAGAUUUGCAUGAUCCCCGAUGUAGGUACUCUGAACCACUCUUG